UGCAGCUAUGUCAAAUUCAUUGCCUGCCCUAGCCCUGGCUGACCCUGUCUCAGAAGGUUACAGCAGUCACAUUGUCAUCCUUGGACCCGCAGCCCCUUCAGGACCUUAGGAAUCCAUUUGGUUACAGACACUA
ensembl:snoRNA